rnacentral:rRNA from 1 species
UGGGGAAUAUUGCACAAUGGGCGAAAGCCUGAUGCAGCAACGCCGCGUGAGUGAUGAAGGCCUUCGGGUUGUAAAGCUCUGUCUUUUGGGACGAUGAUGACGGUACCAAAGGAGGAAGCCACGGCUAACUACGUGCCAGCAGCCGCGGUAAUACGUAGGUGGCAAGCGUUGUCCGGAUUUACUGGGCGUAAAGGAUGCGUAGGCGGAUUUUUAAGUGAGAUGUGAAAUACCCGGGCUUAACUUGGGUGCUGCAUUUCAAACUGGGAAUCUAGAGUGCGGGAGAGGAGAAUGGAAUUCCUAGUGUAGCGGUGAAAUGCGUAGAGAUUAGGAAGAACACCAGUGGCGAAAGGCGAUUCUCUGGACCGUAACUGACGCUGAGGCAUGAAAGCGUGGGUAGCAAACAGGAUUAGAUACCCUGGUAGUCCACGCCGUAAACGAUGAGUACUAGGUGUAGGAGGUAUCGACCCCUUCUGUGCCGCAGUUAACACAAU